CUAACUAACAUUUAUAACCUGAAAUCUAAUUACAGAACAUGUAAUAGUAAAAGGAGAAGGGGAAUCAGCUUCAAAUAGAAUCUUCAUUUAACUAAACUUCAAAUCUUUUACAUGCUCAACAAUCAUGCUUCAAUUAUGAGCUAAGGAAAUCCGUGGGAAAGCAAAAUAGGAGGAAAAAGAGGGGAUCGGCAGAGCAGAAGAGUAUCAGUAGGUACAGCAGUAGAAAAUAGCACCAAAGUAACCAGUAAAAAUAGCUCCGAACCCCAGAAUGAUAGAGAGCAGCUCAAGAUAUCAGGUUCAAACCAAACAAAUAGCUUAACAAAGCUUUAAACCAAAACUUUGACAACCAAAUUUAAGCCAUUUCUCACUUGGAUGAACUCGAAUAGUUUCAAAGGUUUAAAAGGGAUAACUGAAAAUUUUAAUGGAAUGGUAACUUUUCUUUCAAUUCUCAGCAGCUUUCCUUUUUUUUGGAUUUCUG
rnacentral:lncRNA from 1 species